rnacentral:misc_RNA from 1 species
AAAGUCGUAACAAGGUUUCCGUAGGUGAACCUGCGGAAGGAUCAUUAACACGUUUCGUUCCGAACGUUUUGACCCUCCUAUUUUCCGUGCACCAAACGCGUCCGGCCUCUCAGCCGCUCACUGGGUUUACUCAGUGUUGCCUGUUGGGCGUUCUUUAGGAUCCAGAAAUAAGUUUGUGCUUCCGGCACUUACUCGUUUCUCCUGAAGGGCGUUGCCACCUCACCCAAACCCUUUAAUCUAACUGAUCUGAACUUUUAGUUGAGCGCUGUCAAAUUCACUUUUGUCAGUUAUCAACGACUUUGAACAAACAACAACUCUUAACAACGGAUAUCUUGGUUCUC